rnacentral:lncRNA from 1 species
GCUUUGCUGAGACAUUCUUCCACUUUGCUAUGCUGGAUUUUAAUGCGUAGUCUGGGGGCUUCUCCAGCUUAGUUAAGACAGACUAUUAUGGCAGAUGAACUAAUUGCCUCCACACAGUUCUCUCCGUUGUAAUCUCCACAAGAGAUGGACAGUUGCCACUUGAAAGCACGGGUAAAAUCUGUCUUUUGGCCAAAGAAGCAGGCCACCUGCAGUCUGGAUGAGCUGCAGAGCUUCAAUCCAGCUGCUCUGGGUACAGUGGGGGACAAGUGCCCUGGCAGAGGAUAUGAUGCCGACCCAGUUCCAGGGGGACUGUGUCCUGAGGACGACCUGAGAAGGAACAGAGAAGUUAUCAGCAUGAAUACUCACGGUGGGAGCAAGUUAAGGCAGACUUGAGCCAGCAAGUCCAUUGCCAUGAGGGGAUGCUGCACGCUUCUAAAAACUGAAGACGCCCAGUCCAGGAACCCCCUCCAUCCUUUUCGUCUCCUUUCCCUAACCAGGCGAGUCACUCACAUGAGCCCGGGUGGGUGGGGAGGCAACUCAUCGGUGUGACAUUAUCCAUCUCCUCCUCCUCCACCAUCUCCGCCACCACCACGUCUUUCCAGAAAUGACAAGAAGCAGUACUGCCUGAUGACAGAGUGUGGGUCACUGUGGUAGCAGCUAUUUCAUAAACAAGCUGGCUUUGGCCUGGUGGAGAGAAAUGGACCCUAAAGACUUGUGGUUCACCUCACUCAGGGCUUAAUGACUUUCUUCUGGCCUCUCCUGGUGUUCAGUGAUGGAGAGUCGCCUGGAGGUAGGGGACCUAUUGCCCCGAGUGGCCUUGAGACGGAUGAAGGUGACAGUAGGUCCAUAUUGGGAGCAGCUCAGGGAAAGAAGAGGCCAAGGCAAGCCGAAAGAGACUCUUCUUCAUCCAGUGACGUUUCCUGGUGAAGAAGGAGCCCAACCCACUCCUGCUGGAGGAGCCCGGGCCUGGCUUGUUGCUUAGCAAUGUAACUCGAUGUUGCUAAAAUCCGUCCAAGUGAAAAUUUACAAAGGCAGGUGAUACAAAGUAAAUGAAUUCUGUUGCAUAUAGUCCUGGAAAUGCUUGGUGGCUAAGUGGAGGGCAAGGUAGCCACACUCCCAAAAGCAGAAAGGUACCAAACAUCCCCCUGCGAGAGAAGUGGAUCUGUUGGGACAUUUAUGUUUGGUCCAAGUCUGUUACUAAUGUAGUGUGUAUGUGUUGAAAAUAGUAAAAGUGGUUAGCAUGGGUUUCCCAUGAGUUUAUUCUCUGUAGAGACUUAAGAACUCGCGGUGUGAAUCAUAGAGGUGCCACUCCAAUAAUUCUCUUUGUCUGAAACUCCUUGUGCACACAUCUGCAAUGUGUCUAAAGCAUCUCCUGUGGCUGUGUGUCACUGUCCUACCCCCGAAGGAAGGGCAUAGUCAGCCAUGAUGAAAUGGUGGGGGUUCUAGAUGAGAGAGUGAACAGAUUGAGACUUACCACCUGAAAUCACGUCCCUGGGGGCUCUGACAAGAGAUGAGUGAAUUCUGGUACUCGAGCUCUCAAGCAAAAUUUAACACACACUGCAAUCUAUUUUCUGAGUCCUCCCAGAGGAAUUAAACUGG